AUUCCAGCUCCAAUAGCGUAUAUUAAAGUUGUUGCAGUUAAAAAGCUCGUAGUCGGAUUUUGGCAUCACGCCGAACUGUCUGCCGAUUGGUAAGUACGGUUUGGCGGGUGCUUCCUUCCGGAGGCUCGUUCCCUUCUUCAUUGAAGGGUUCGUUGGUUCCGGGUCUUUUACUUUGAGAAAAUUAGAGUGUUCAAAGCAGGCCUAUGCUCUGAAUAGGUUAGCAUGGAAUAAUAGAAUAGGACUUUGGUUCUAUUUUGUUGGUUUGCACGCCAAAGUAAUGAUUAGUAGGAGCAGUUGGGGGUAUUCGUAUUCAAUUGUAAGAGGUGAAAUUCUUGGAUUUAUAGAAGACGAACUACUGCGAAAGCAUUUACCAAGGAUGUUUUCAUU
rnacentral:rRNA from 1 species